GAUUAAAUGGCUGAAAACUAGGUAAUAGACUGUAAAUCUAUUUAUGAGGAUUAUUCCUCUUUAAUCA
rnacentral:tRNA from 1 species